AACGAACGCUGGCGGCAUGCUUUACACAUGCAAGUCGAACGGUAACAGGCCGCAAGGUGCUGACGAGUGGCGAACGGGUGAGUAAUGCAUCGGAACGUGCCCAGUCGUGGGGGAUAACGCAGCGAAAGCUGUGCUAAUACCGCAUACGAUCUAUGGAUGAAAGCGGGGGACCGUAAGGCCUCGCGCGAUUGGAGCGGCCGAUGUCAGAUUAGGUAGUUGGUGGGGUAAAGGCCUACCAAGCCGACGAUCUGUAGCUGGUCUGAGAGGACGACCAGCCACACUGGGACUGAGACACGGCCCAGACUCCUACGGGAGGCAGCAGUGGGGAAUUUUGGACAAUGGGCGCAAGCCUGAUCCGGCAAUGCCGCGUGCAGGAAGAAGGCCUUCGGGUUGUAAACUGCUUUUGUACGGAACGAAACGGUCUGGGUUAAUACCCCGGGCUAAUGACGGUACCGUAAGAAUAAGCACCGGCUAACUACGUGCCAGCCGCCGCGGUAAUAC
rnacentral:rRNA from 1 species